CUCUUUUGCCACCAAAUUGAAACAUCCCAACAUUUGUUUUUUGAUUGUUCUGUGGUUAAGGUUGUAUGGCGAUCGAUUGGGGUCACUCUCGGGACAGAUCUAUGUCCCCGUAACUACUGGCAGUUCUUUGUUUGGUGCCACUCUUUCCUGUCGGGAUUUGACUCGUUUUAUACUGUGGCUCUUGGGGCAGUCACUUGGUCCAUUUGGCUGGCUCGGAACAAAGCCACCUUUGAGAAAAAAUGA
rnacentral:rRNA from 1 species